AAUUUCUUUCUACAGAGCCUUUACAUGAUACGUGCAGUAAGUCUUAACCGAACAGAAGUGGUAAUCAGAUUCACUUACGUUAAAGAUGCUUACCAUUUCUUAAUGUGCAAGAAAACAUUGAAUGAAUACUUUUCAGCCAUAUGAGGAUCAAAUGUUUUAUUUGAGUCCUCUCAAGUUUAUGUUUUAGGUUACUAUACAUUUCAAACUCACUGAAUCAGAUAUAUAAAAAAAUGGCAAUUUUUAAAUCUUUUCCAGUCUUGGAUAAAUUUCAGUGGACGCAGUUGUUCAUAUUGUUUCCUUCCCAUAGGUAUAAAAUCAGAAAUACAAAAACCAUAGAAACUGUAGAUAUAAUCAAUAGACAUAAAAUCAUAUUCCACAACUCAGGUAACUCAACACAUUUGAAUUUCACAUUUAAUGUAGUUAUUUUGGUGUUCCACCUCCAGGUUUCUUUUCGAUUGUGGCUAUGAUAAUGGAGCAAUGCUGUAAAGAGGUCUGUAUCGGAGGGGAGAUGACGGAGACAUGGAGGCAACAUCAUUCCUCAGGCUGUCGCUGAAUAUCACACAGUAGUCAGAAGCAUUUUUAUCCUAUUGCAGGAGUAUUGUGUCAUAGGUUCGUGCAUCGUGCAGGUUUUCUACUUUUAAUACUACAAUCUGCUGUUGUUCUCCACCUACACUGGUGCUCCUAACAAGGAACAACAUACAAAGCGGUAUACAUAAUAAGUUACUGUUUUGUAGCAUAUUCCUCACGCGAAUGUAACAUGCUUUUCUCUUUCUCUUUAUUUCUGUCCUUCUUUACAAGCCAUAAUAAAUGAAAGCCUCAUUGACUGUCGUACAAAAGCAUCUCAAAAAGUUUGAAAGACGUUUGUAGCGUUUCUUUAUAAGGAAACGAAAAUUCUGUUGUAUACCAUUUUUUGGACGAAAUCUUAUAUACUUACAGGCGUCAUUUAUAUUCAGUAUAGUUUGUAUUUUUAUGUUCCUCUUUCUCAGCACAAUAAAACUGGUUACUUCAGUUCGCUUGAAGAAUAAAUUAAUUGUUAGCAGAAUUAAACCUUUUUUGCAGCAACAUUUUCAAUGGAACAUCCACAAUGGCGGAAGAGAGAAGGUUUGGAAAGAGUAAUUAUGGGCCACACAUGGUAGAGAGUAUAAAAUAUAUUUGACAUAUUUGUAAGAUAUUCACAUAGUUAUAAAUUGUUCAUACAUAAGGCUUUGGAUAUUAGAGUGUUACAGUGAAUGAGGCUAAAAGAGGUAAACCUUUAAACAGCAACGCUUUGAAUCGAAUACACAGAUUUGUCGAUUUCCGCCGAGAGUACACUCUGUAAUAUGACUCUUAAGCGCUAAUGUCCAAAGCAGGUCACAUACAGUUUAAGUAUAUAAUAUUUUGUCCUAUAUGACUAAUAAAUUAACCGAUAAAUGUAUGAAAGAUCUUCAUUAGAUACAUAGUCUAAUUUCAUAACAAUGACUAUUACAUUUAUAGAAUGACAAUAAUAAGAUCAUAAAUUAUGAUAAUGAAACAAAACUGCUGGAAUACAUUGUGGUAUAAAAAUUAAAAGAAAUGAGCAAUGGUACCCUCCACGAGCAUACUCCUGGAGUAUAUCGAUUCUGUUUACACAGAAGACACGAAGGUUGCCUUCUGUACAGAUGUAUGACAUUCAAAAUCCUCCUUAAAAGAAGCUAACUGUUCCCACUUCACGGAGACAGCAAGCAACUUGUCUUUGACAUUCUAGUCACUUUUGAGGAACAUGUUUAUAAGCCUGAGAAAGGAUCAGAGAUGGGCAUAUUUCUCAGAAGUACGCUGAGAAUGA